AGUAGCAAUAUUUUUUUUUUUUUUUUAAGUUAUAUACUGCAGUUUAAAACUAAAGAUUGUUUUUCUUUAAAAGUCAGGGAAAAUUGAACGUGUUAUUUUAAUACAUCAUCUGUAAUAUGAUUGUUUUGUAAAUGUAGUGUCUUUAUUACACAAACAGAUAUGAGGAAAAGUAGCUGAUAAUACUAAUGAGGAUAUUCUGAAACUUCACAUGCCUGAUUUAAUGAUCACAUUAAAUCUGCCAUUAAAUAUUCAUUGUAAUUUAACACUGCAGCUUUAAAUCAAACCAAUAAAACACUGUUAAAGUUGUCACGGCUGAUAAACACCUUUUGUGUGCUCCACCUCUACUGUGACCUGAUUUUAUUAUGAACAAAAUGAAAAAGUCCGUCUGAAAAAGGAGGCUGACUCAGUUCGUUCCAGUUCAUUUAGUCCAGAAUCAGGUUUUAGCUUAAAGCAUGUACUGGGUGUAAAGUCAUAUUUUUAGCUGAAUUAUGUUUAUUUUCCUUAUAUCUAGCGGAUUUAAAUCAGGUCUGUCAUUUUAAAGGAAAUAAGCUGUGAUUAAUAAAUGUUUUGUUCCUUUUUUUCUUUUUAGUCACAAUUAAAUAAGAAAACAAAAGCAAUGUGGUGUAGCAAAUGAAUUAAGUUGUGUGGCUUUGCUUAAGCAAACAGUGAGCAAUAUUUGGGAUUCCUGAUCCAUUUUAAUCCUUUCUGGGUUAAAAUGAAGAAAGCUUCAUUCACUGUUAUUUACCAGAGACUGUAGCUGUAUAACAAGCAGAUGUAGCCACCUUUAAAUGACUCAGACCUGCAGUUAAUCAUUUGGCUCUGAUCCCAGUGUUUUUAGAGCAGUGAUGCUGGUUUUGAUGUCACACCUGAGUUAAAAGUGUUCCAGUUAACAUAGUCAAAGAAGCCUGGACUUCGACAUGGCAAUGGCCAAGUAUUACUGCUGAUGAACAUCGUUUAAACUGCUUCACUUUCCGUAAGCAAAGACCACUGUGACUUUUUUUCAGCUAAGAGUUGCAGGCAGUAAAGAUACCAUUGAUUUUAGAUGCACUCUUGCAUGUGUAUUUGCAAAAUAAACAGGUUUCCACCACAGCGUACUACUGUAGAAGGAGCGGCCAUAUUGGAACACUGAAAAAUCCUGACCGGGGUUAGUCUGGGUUUCUCCAACUUUCCGAGUAGGAAGUCCAACUUUUUCCAACUGGAGCAGGAAGCUGGUUUGAGUUGUAGGGAACAUGGAUGGAGCUAAAUACAGAGGAACAGCAAAAGACUUGAAACUGGGGAUGAAGUUCCUGUUCCAGCAGGUUAACACUGAACACAGUCGGAUCUAGGCACAUCAAUGAGUUAAUCUGGACCAGUUAAAACCCAGACAUAAAUCCAAAUGAUAAUCUUGGGCA